UACGUAGGGGGCUAGCGUUGUCCGGAAUUACUGGGUGUAAAGGGCGUGUAGGCGGGUAAUCAAGUCAGAUGUGAAAUACCGAGGCUCAACUUCGGGGCUGCAUCUGAAACUGGUUAUCUUGAGUGCAGGAGAGGAAAGCGGAAUUCCUAGUGUAGCGGUGAAAUGCGUAGAUAUUAGGAGGAACACCAGUGGCGAAGGCGGCUUUCUGGACUGUAACUGACGCUGAGGCGCGAAAGCGUGGGGAGCGAAC
rnacentral:rRNA from 1 species